rnacentral:lncRNA from 1 species
GUAAAUAGAAUACUACUAAUAUAGUAGUAACAUUAUAAUAACAUACCAAAUUUAAGAUGUGUCCACCAUGAUGGUUAAUUUAGAGUACAAAAUAUGGUUGGAAACUAAAACAAAAUAUUCAGAUUUUGUGAUCAAAACACAAACUCUACAACACAGAUUUUAAAGUACUCAUGCAUUACGGAUUACGAAAUUACAUUUCCAAAACUACCUGAUCAUCUUCAAUUUCAAAACUAACCACUCCCUCCUGUUGUUUACUGGAUGCGGACAUGCUUGACAUACAUUUUGGUCGGUGGAUCCUCCAAAUCAAAGAUCAAUAAGUCAUUCUCCUGUAAGUC